AUUAUGGAUCUGUGGAGCUGCUUAUUUCCAGUGAUGCUGAUGGAGCCAUCCAAAGGGCUGGAAGAUUCAGAGUGGAAAAUGGCUCUUCAGAUGAGAAUGCAACUGCCCUGCCUGGUACUUGGCGAAGAACAGACGUGCACUUAGAGAACCCAGAAUACCACACCAGAUGGUAUUUCAAAUAUUUUUUAGGACAAGUCCAUCAGAACUACAUUGGAAACGAUGCAGAGAAGAGCCCUUUCUUCUUGUCCGUGACCCUUUCUGACCAAAACAAUCAACGUGUCCCUCAAUACCGUGCAAUUCUUUGGAGAAAAACAGGUACCCAGAAAAUAUGCCUUCCCUACAGUCCCACAAAAACUCUUUCUGUGAAGUCCAUCUUAAGUGCCAUGAAUCUGGACAAAUUUGAGAAAGGCCCCAGGGAAAUUUUUCAUCCUGAAAUACAAAAGGCUGAAAAUAUUUUCAGAAGAGAGCGUACCACUCUUUGGCCCUCCCUUGCCAACUCCACCAGUGUUUACAGACCACCAGGAAUUCAGGGACUUUUUGCUAGUGAAA
rnacentral:sRNA from 2 species